rnacentral:tRNA from 1 species
GGAGAGAUGGUACUGAGCGGUCGAAGGCAGCGGUCUUGAAAACCGCCGAUGGGAAACCAUCCUAGAGUUCGAAUCUCUAUCUCUCCGCCA